GCUGGGUUCGAAUAAUGGUUUAGUUCAACGCACUUUCGAUGCGUAGAUAGGGGUUCGAUUCCCCUACCCAGUA
rnacentral:tRNA from 1 species